rnacentral:rRNA from 1 species
AACGAACGCUGGCGGCAUGCCUAACACAUGCAAGUCGAACGAACCCUUCGGGGUUAGUGGCGCACGGGUGCGUAACGCGUGGGAAUCUGCCCUUUGCUUCGGAAUAACAGAUAGAAAUGACUGCUAAUACCGGAUGAUGUCAUACGACCAAAGAUUUAUGGGCAAGGGAUGAGCCCUGGUAGGAUUAGGUAGUUGGUGGGGUAAAGGCCGACCAUGCCGACGGUCCUUAGCUGGUCUGGGAGGAUGAUCAGCCACACUGGGACUACGUCACGGCCCAGACUCCUACGGGAGGCAGCAGUGGAGAAUAUUGGACAAUGGGCGCAAGCCUGAUCCAGCAAUGCCGCGUGAGUGAUGAUGGCGUUCGGGUCGUAAAGCUCUUUUACCAGGGAUGAUAAUGACAGUACCUGGAGAAUAAGCUCCGGCUAACUCCGUGCCAGCAGCCGCCGUAAUAC